rnacentral:rRNA from 1 species
CCUACGGGCGGCUGCAGUGGGGAAUAUUGGACAAUGGGGGGAACCCUGAUCCAGCCAUGCCGCGUGUGUGAAGAAGGCCCUCGGGUUGUAAAGCACUUUCAGUGAGGAAGAACGCCUGGUGGUUAAUACCCAUCAGGAAAGACAUCACUCACAGAAGAAGCACCGGCUAACUCCGUGCCAGCAGCCGCGGUAAUACGGAGGGUGCGAGCGUUAAUCGGAAUUACUGGGCGUAAAGCGCGCGUAGGUGGCUUGAUAAGCCGGUUGUGAAAGCCCCGGGCUCAACCUGGGAACGGCAUCCGGAACUGUCAAGCUAGAGUGCAGGAGAGGAAGGUAGAAUUCCCGGUGUAGCGGUGAAAUGCGUAGAGAUCGGGAGGAAUACCAGUGGUGAAGGCGGCCUUCUGGACUGACACUGACACUGAGGUGCGAAAGCGUGGGUAGCAAACAGGAUUAGAUACCCCUGUAGUC